UAUGGAAAACUUUCACAUUUGACGAGAUAUAUUCACGAAAUUUGGUAUAGAUUAUUUUUUAAGGCAACAAUGUAAUCUCCGAAGAAAUUGUUCCGAUCGGAUUACUAUAGCAUAUAGCUGCCAUACAAACUGAACGAUCGGAAUCAAGUUCUUGUAAGGAAAACUUUCACAUUUGACGAGAUAUAUUCACGAAAUUUGGUAUAGAUUAUUUUUUAAGGCAACAAUGUAAUCUCCGAAGAAAUUGUUCCGAUCGGAUUACUAUAGCAUAUAGCUGCCAUACAAACUGAACGAUCGGAAUCAAGUUCUUGUAAGGAAAGCUUUCACAUUUGACGAGAUAUAUUCACGAAAUUUGGUAUAGAUUAUUUUUUAAGGCAACAAUGUAAUCUUCGAAGAAAUUGUUCCGAUCGGAUUACUAUAGCAUAUAGCUGCCAUACAAACUGAACAAUCGGAAUCAAGUUCUUGUAUGGAAAACUUUCACAUUUGACGAGAUAUAUUCACGAAAUUUGGUAUAGAUUAUUUUUUAAGGCAACAAUGUAAUCUCCGAAGAAAUUGUUCAGAUCGGAUUGCUAUAGCAUAUAGCUUUCAUACAAACUGAACACA